rnacentral:misc_RNA from 1 species
GUAUUUGAAUUAAGUAUUCAUACAGGUUUUCAGACAAAGUUGUUAAAAAUAAGAGUUGAUGUUUACAUCCUGUAGCGCAAAUGACAAGCAUUCGCGUUACAAGACAACAUUGCACACAAGGUGGAUAUGGAUUUUUAAAGAGUGCCAUAAAACACUCGUUUGUGAAUGAUCCUUCCGCAGGUUCACCUACGGAAA